rnacentral:rRNA from 1 species
GGAAGUCUUCCACAAUGGACGCAAGUCUGAUGGAGCAACGCCGCGUGAGUGAAGAAGGUCUUCGGAUCGUAAAACUCUGUUGUUAGAGAAGAACACGAGUGAGAGUAACUGUUCAUUCGAUGACGGUAUCUAACCAGCAAGUCACGGCUAACUACGCGCCAG